rnacentral:lncRNA from 1 species
UUAAAGUCUUGAAGUGGAAUGAGAAUGUUAUUUUAAAAGAAAAAAAUAACAAAACAACAAAAAAGUAAACCUUAAAAUGUGAAGAAAGUGUGAGUUUCUUUUUCGUUUUGUCACAGUUAACUGUGUCAAAGAGAAUUUAAACAACAGACAACAGAAACUUCUCAGAUUUUGUUUACAUAUUUUACUACAUUUUUGCUGGUAUAACCCCUCAGUCGUGUAUGUACAUACCGCUUUAAGAACUGUUAUUUCCUUUCUGUCUGUUUAUUCGGUUUGUGUUCCAUUCUCUUUCUGUCUUCUUUUUGUAAAGAGGAAGCAAUGUACAGAGUAAAAAAAAAUAAUAAUAAACAAACUGGUUUCGUUGCCAUAGCCAUUCAAAAAGCAAGAAGAUAAAACAGGACACAUGCUCGCACAGAGGCGAGGUGUGUCAUCUGGAGGGGCAGGCGUAUGCGAUUUCUCUUGUACAGAUGAAAACCAAUCAGCUGUUUAGAUUUAGAAAUCUACUCUUGCUGGUCUUUGUAAGUUGCAUGAAUAUUUGACUUUGAAAAACAAUUAUCCUAAAGACAUGGGGCAGAAGGCGCAGUUUAAACAAUGGCAAGCCUUCACUGAUGUGUAUGGAAAGUGGUGUUCCUCCUUAUCCGAGAUCUCAAUGUGUUAAGAGUUUCCCUUUUUUUUUUUUUUGGUUGUUGUCAUUAAAAAGACAGGACUGUAAAAGAGUAUUAAAGCACGAUUUUAGAUAAAUGGCCCAGCCCAUAUGAAGUUGAUUAUAUCUCGAUGUCUGUGACAGAUUGCUGUUCUUGGAGUCGUGAGAUCUUGUGAACUGACCUUCUCCUUUCUUUCCAUUUUUUUUAAAAUCGGAGUAAAAUCUCAUUUGUUAUAUUCCUUUUAGUGUAAGUUAAUAUCUGGACAGUUUUACGGGAACCUGUGCAUUCUGUAUGCGAGCUUUCAUCGGAUUCCUGUUGUGUUCUUUGCAGACCCUGAAAGAGAUUUUUUUCAUAACGUUGUGAUGUUCCUGCUUUUUUUGUUUUGUUUUGUUUUGUUUUUCCUUUUCUCUUUUAUUUCCCAUUUGCUUUUUCGUUCAAGGAUAUGCUUAGCAAUAAAAUGUUCUUCCCAAA